GUUAAAAUUCCUGCACCAUC
rnacentral:misc_RNA from 1 species